AACGAACGCUGGCGGCGCGUCUUAAGCAUGCAAGUCGAACGGCAAGAGAGGAGCUUGCUUCUCUCCUAGAGUGGCGGACUGGUGAGGAACACGUGGGUAAUCUACCCUUAAGAUGGGGAUAGCUGCUAGAAAUAGCAGGUAAUACCGAAUACACUCGGCAUAUCACAAGAGAUGUUGAGGAAAGGAAGCUACGGCUUCGCUUGAGGAUGAGCUUGCGUCCCAUUAGCUAGUUGGUGAGGUAAAGGCCCACCAAGGCGACGAUGGGUAUCCGGCCUGAGAGGGUGAACGGACACAUUGGGACUGAGAUACGGCCCAAACUCCUACGGGAGGCAGCAGCUAAGAAUAUUCCGCAAUGGACGGAAGUCUGACGGAGCGACGCCGCGUGGAUGAAGAAGGCUGAAAAGUUGUAAAAUCCUUUGUGUGAGAAUAAGGGUGAGAGGGAAUGCUCAUCUGAUGACGGUAAUCGACGAAUAAGCCC
rnacentral:rRNA from 1 species